rnacentral:rRNA from 1 species
GCACUAAAUGAAUUAACUAUUCUUUAUUUAUUUAUAUUUUUAUUGUAAGUACUUUUAAGUCCAUCUUAUAGAAAAUUUUAAAUCUUCUAACCGAAAAAAAAAAUUAUUGUAACUCGCCUUAAUUCUUACUUAUUUGCUGCACUUUGAUUUGUAUUAAUCUUUAAAAAGACUUUAAGCUCACCUAAUGGUGAGUUUACGACAACGGUAUACAAGCUUUAAAAAUAAGUAUAAUAUUCUUGGUGGUUAUCAAUUAUAUGGUAAGUUCCCCUAAAUACUACAUUCAGCCGCCAUAAUAUUUAAGUUUGGGCUUAACUAACAUUAAUUCUUGCUUCAAACACAUUAAUUUCCUUAUAAUUGGGUAUCUAAUCCAGGUUUAAUUUUUGGAGAUUUUUAUAAUGUUACCGAUAUAGUUAAAGUGCAAAAAUAAUAAUAUUUCACUACACAUUAAAAUUUUGUAUCUCUUUAAUUGUUUAAACAAUUACUAUAAAUUUACCUAAUAGGUAUGACCGCGGUUGCUGGCACCUAGUAAACCUAGACUAUAUAGUUACCUAAAUUAAAAUUUCUUUAAUUAUUUAAAAUUUUUAACUGGAGAAAGUGUUUACAUUCCAUAUUAAGUUAGACUACAAACUUAUAGAUCCAUCAUAUUAAAGUGGCUUAUCUAAGGGGGUUGUANACCAUUUUAGA